rnacentral:sRNA from 23 species
GUCCACGUCGCGGCGGACCAAAGCCAGAAUCCCCCAAGGAUGAUGGCUGCGGCCGGCCAACGCCUCGUUGUCAUGAUGAGCAGGCCGGUCGC